rnacentral:lncRNA from 1 species
AUGACCUUAGCUCCCGAAGAUGACAGAGACGGUAUAGGAUGUGUGAAGAGUGCAAACAACCAAACCUAUGGCCAUAACCUUGUCCUCCAAGCCAAGUUGCAACAACUCAGGACACAGUUUCCACAUGCUGUCAUCACCUAUGCUGAUUACUGGAAUGCAUAUUUCACAGUCAUGAAGAAUCCAAACCAGUAUGGUUUCAAUGGUUUCUAGGAGAGCUUCAAGGCCUGCUGUGGGACAGGUGACCCCUACAACUUUGAGGUGUUUGCCGUGUGUGGCACGCCGUCUGCUAGUGCCUGUCCAAGCCCUUCCCAGUACAUAAACUGGGAUGGAGUUCAUCUCACUGAAGCCAUGUACAAGGUGCUUACUGAUAUGUUCCUCAAUGGCAAGGCCACUCACCCUUCCUUCAGUUACUUGUUGGACAUGAAACUGCGUCGCGAAUGA